UGAGGAAUAUUGGUCAAUGGGCGAGAGCCUGAACCAGCCAAGUAGCGUGCAGGAUGACGGCCCUAUGGGUUGUAAACUGCUUUUAUGUGGGGAUAAAGUGCGUGACGUGUCAUGCAUUGCAGGUACCACAUGAAUAAGGACCGGCUAAUUCCGUGCCAGCAGCCGCGGUAAUACGGAAGGUCCGGGCGUUAUCCGGAUUUAUUGGGUUUAAAGGGAGCGUAGGCUGUCUAUUAAGCGUGUUGUGAAAUUUACCGGCUCAACCGGUGGCUUGCAGCGCGAACUGGUCGACUUGAGUAUGCAGGAAGUAGGCGGAAUUCAUGGUGUAGAGGUGAAAUGCUUAGAUAUCAUGACGAACUCCGAUUGCGCAGGCAGCUUACUGUAGCAUAACUGACGCUGAUGCUCGAAAGUGCGGGUAUCAAACAGG
rnacentral:rRNA from 1 species